rnacentral:ncRNA from 2 species
UCAUGCAGAAGAGGAGCACUACCCAGGCAGGUGAUUGGUGGAACCGCAAUUCCUAUACCAAGCACUCAUGGGGAGUAGUGCCGAGGUGAGUCAAAUUUGCAGGAUUUGACUUGUCGGUUGACUUGGGUUGAAUCCCAUCAAUUGUCAUCAGCGCAGCCUGAUGAAGAGCUUCUGAGAGU